AGACGUUACAGUAAUUGCUCAUUUCGUUUAAUGUUAUUCCCUGGAUAGUCUCAGCAAGGCGUCUCACAAAACUUAGUAAUUAUUUGCCAAGUAUACUACUUUUGCUAAGUUUGAAUAUUUUGGUAAAAACAGCUUUGUAUGAUUUACAGUUAUUAUUUAUACUAUAUUAAACUACAAACUUUUUACAUUUUCUAAAAAUAUUUUCUAUGACUAUGUCUGUGCAUGACCCGCAUAGUCUAUGGUCGCACCCUAUAGCCUAUAGGGCUAUGCCUAUGGCCGUUUAUUAAUUUUUACUAUGAUAGUCCAUGUUAUUGCAACCGAUUGCUGUUAACUAUAUUUUGUUUGUUCUUGCCAUUUUGACUGAAAUAACGCGUA